rnacentral:rRNA from 1 species
GACGAACGCUGGCGGCGUGCUUAACACAUGCAAGUCGAACGAUGAAGCCGGAGCUUGCUCUGGUGAAUUAGUGGCGAACGGGUGAGUAACACGUGAGUAACCUGCCCUUGACUCUGGGAUAACGGCGGGAAACUGUAGCUAAUACCGGAUACGACCCUCGGAGGCAUCUCCUGGGGGUGGAAAGAAUUUCGGUCAAGGAUGGAAUCGCGGCCUAUCAGCUAGUUGGUGAGGUAAAGGCUCACAAAGGCGACGACGGGUAGCCGGCCUGAGAGGGUGACCGGCCACACUGGGACUGAGACACGGCCCAGACUCCUACGGGAGGCAGCAGUGGGGAAUAUUGCACAAUGGGCGCAAGCCUGAUGCAGCAACGCCGCGUGAGGGAUGACGGCCUUCGGGUUGUAAACCUCUUUUAGCAGGGAAGAAGCGAAAGUGACGGUACCUGCAGAAAAAGCACCGGCUAACUACGUGCCAGCAGCCGCCGUAA